GGUCCGGUAGUUCAGUUGGUUAGAAUGCCUGCCUGUCACGCAGGAGGUCGCGGGUUCGAGUCCCNCGGGUCA
rnacentral:tRNA from 1 species